rnacentral:rRNA from 1 species
AUUGAACGCUGGCGGCAGGCUUAACACAUGCAAGUCGAGCGGGGAAGGGUAGCUUGCUACCUAACCUAGCGGCGGACGGGUGAGUAAUGCUUAGGAAUCUGCCAUUUAGUGGGGGACAACAUUCCGAAAGGAAUGCUAAUACCGCAUACGUCCUACGGGAGAAAGCAGGGGAUCUUCGGACCUUGCGCUAAAUGAUGAGCCUAAGUCGGAUUAGCUAGUUGGUGGGGUAAAGGCCUACCAAGGCGACGAUCUGUAGCGGGUCUGAGAGGAUGAUCCGCCACACUGGGACUGAGACACGGCCCAGACUCCUACGGGAGGCAGCAGUGGGGAAUAUUGGACAAUGGGCGAACGGCUGAUCCAGACAUGCCGAGUGUGUGAAGAAGGUCUUCGGAUUGUAAAGCACAUUAAGUUGGGAAGAAGGGCAGUAAGCUAAUACCUUGCUGUUUUGACGUUACCGACAGAAUAAGCACCGGCUAACUCUGUGCCAGCCGCCGCGGUAACAC